UACAGAGGGUGCGAGCGUUAAUCGGAAUUACUGGGCGUAAAGCGCGCGUAGGCGGCUUUGCAAGUCGGGUGUGAAAUCCCCAGGCUUAACCUGGGAACUGCAUUCGAGACUGCAUUGCUAGAGUAUGGGAGAGGGAAGUGGAAUUUCCGGUGUAGCGGUGAAAUGCGUAGAUAUCGGAAGGAACAUCAGUGGCGAAAGCGACUUCCUGGACCAAUACUGACGCUCAUGUGCGAAAGCCGUGGGGAGCAAACAGG
rnacentral:rRNA from 1 species